UACGUAGGGGGGCAAGCGUUUGUCCGGAUUUAUUGGGCGUAAAGAGCGUGUAGGCGGCUAGGUAGGUCCGUUGUGAAAACUCGAGGCUCAACCUCGAGACGUCGAUGGAAACCAUCUAGCUAGAGUCCGGAAGAGGAGAGUGGAAUUCCUGGUGUAGCGGUGAAAUGCGCAGAUAUCAGGAAGAACACCCGUGGCGAAGGCGGCUCUCUGGUACGUGACUGACGCUGAGACGCGAAAGCGUGGGGAGCGAACAGG
rnacentral:rRNA from 1 species